CCAAAGGCUCUUUUCAGAGCCACUUAAAUAUACUGAAAGAGCUGU
rfam:Chlorocebus sabaeus isolate 1994-021 chromosome 17, whole genome shotgun sequence.